UGCAGUCGACGCGUUGGCCCAAUUGAUUGAUGGUGCUUGCACCUGAUUGAUUUUGGUCGCCAACGAGUGGCGGACGGGUGAGUAACACGUAGGUAACCUGCCCAGAAGCGGGGGACAACAUUUGGAAACAGAUGCUAAUACCGCAUAACAACGUUGUUCGCAUGAACAACGCUUAAAAGAUGGCUUCUCGCUAUCACUUCUGGAUGGACCUGCGGUGCAUUAGCUUGUUGGUGGGGUAACGGCCUACCAAGGCGAUGAUGCAUAGCCGAGUUGAGAGACUGAUCGGCCACAAUGGGACUGAGACACGGCCCAUACUCCUACGGGAGGCAGCAGUAGGGAAUCUUCCACAAUGGGCGCAAGCCUGAUGGAGCAACACCGCGUGAGUGAAGAAGGGUUUCGGCUCGUAAAGCUCUGUUGUUAAAGAAGAACACGUAUGAGAGUAACUGUUCAUACGUUGACGGUAUUUAACCAGAAAGUCACGGCUAACUACGUGCCAGCAGCCNNCGGU
rnacentral:rRNA from 2 species